GACGAACGCUGGCGGCGUGCUUAACACAUGCAAGUCGAACGGAAAGGCUCCAGCUUGCUGGAGUCCUCGAGCGGCGAACGGGUGAGUAACACGUGGGUAAUCUGCCCUGCACUCUGGGAUAAGCCUGGGAAACUGGGUCUAAUACUGGAUAUGACCUUUCUCCUUAUGGGGUUUGGUGGAAAGUUUUUCGGUGUAGGAUGAGCCCGCGGCCUAUCAGCUUGUUGGUGGGGUGAUGGCCUACCAAGGCGACGACGGGUAGCCGGCCUGAGAGGGUGAUCGGCCACAUUGGGACUGAGAUACGGCCCAGACUCCUACGGGAGGCAGCAGUGGGGAAUAUUGCACAAUGGGCGGAAGCCUGAUGCAGCGACGCCGCGUGAGGGAUGACGGCCUUCGGGUUGUAAACCUCUUUCAGCAGGGACGAAGCGUAAGUGACGGUACCUGCAGAAGAAGCACCGGCUAACUAUGUG
rnacentral:rRNA from 1 species